CAAGCGUUUAAUGCCACAGCGGUGGUCCGUCACAUGAGGCGUCUCUAGGUGGGACCAUGUCAGGAGGUGCCGAGCCAGACCACCAUGCUCAGCCACUGCAGAAGUGGCUCCCAGCCAGACCACCCUGCCUAGCCCCUGUAGAAGCCAUCUGCUGCUGCCUGAGGGGGAACACACAGAGUCUCCCGUUGAGGGUGGCUACUCCCAGAGUGCGAACCAGCGGGGCAGAACGAGACUCCCUGGCCAACUGUACCUACCGCUGCCAUCCAACCAGCUGCAUCUGAUCCCCCGGCCACCUGUAGUGUGGCCAACCAAUGACUUUCCCACUUUCCAGUCUGGCCCCGAACACAGAGUUGUUGUUCCAGCGCCCCUUCACCAGAUGGGGCAGGGAUGUUAAGAACCCAGGGUGGGGAGGAGGGAAGAGGGGAUUCUAUGAUGCCAUUGCCAACAGAGGAGGUCACUUGACCUAGAUUGGGGUGAGAGUGGAGGAUGAACUGAGAGAGGAGAAGAGAAGGAGGCAAGCUUAAGGAGAGGUGUUGUACCCAGUGUAUUCCUGGGUGUUAUUAGUUUGGGAGUGGGACAGAGCUUGGACAGUGUUUUUACUCAUGCUUUUUAAAAGUGUAUGUCUGCUUUUUUUCCAUCUCUGUAUUUCUGUACAUGCUGUUUUUUUCAUUGUCGUUAUCCUUCCCCCUUGACAACGUAUAGAGGAUUGAGCCACUGAUGCUACUUGCAUGAUCAGAGAACAGGCAGACAGGUCCCAAUGCAUGUUGACUGACAACAGGUGUUUUUAUAACAUAAGGAGUCUACUGCAGAACUAUGUGUAUGCGGUACCACCCAUUGUGGAAUAGUUUCUGUACAGCAGAUAUUGUAGCUAAUAGCUCACAAGAGAUGGACUUACAUGCAAAGCCAUUCCUCAAAAAACUAAGAAUAGGUGUCUGUUAACCUACAGAGGUCUCGGUUAACCCACAGUUUUACUCCCUGAUGUUUAAACCACAUUCUAACCUGAAAGUGCAAUAUUAUCCCGUUGAUAAAGACACUUUUGGGGAGAGUUUCAGCCUGCCUUUCAACUGGUCAAAACUUAAUCCAUUUAAGUUAUUAAGAACAUGGAAGAUGUAAUGAGCUCAGCCCUCUUGCUUAAGGGCAGGGAAUAGAUGUGUGUGAAUACAAAGCCAAAUGUGGAUAUGUUUUUCACUGUGUACAUGCAACCAAAUAACAUUCCCUUUUGGAUCACCCUUCCAUGGGUCUUUCCUUAAUUCAUUUUGGGGUUGUUUUUUCAAGCAAUUUUAUGUGUACAGAGAGAACUUGAAUUAAUGAAAGUAAAUAAUAAUCCAUCAUUACAUCUGUCACUCUCGCUCUCACCAUGAGGUCACGUUAAAUUGUUGAUACUUUUAAUAACCUAUUGCACAUACAAAAGUAACAUUUUUUGUUAUUCACUUAAGACCACUCCAUUUGUUUUUGCACCACCCUAUUUUCCCAAUACUCUGUUUAAAUGUCCAUAAUUUGAAUGUAUGUAUGCGAAACAACUUGACCUGGCAACCUUUGGGGUCUAAAAUGUUGAGAUUAAGUGGCAUUGAAAAGUCUGACAUGGAAUACAUAACCUAACUUGUGAUCUGUGUAAGAGGCAAUAUAGUGAGAAAUUGUCAGUUGUAACCCAUUCGGCUUAGGUUUUCAGCCCUCUAUCAAAAUAUUACAAGUCAUAUGAGCUUAGAAUUGGUUAAUUAACAACAUUUGGGAUCUAAGAUGUUGAGAAAAGUGGCAUUGAAGAGUCUGACAUGGAAUAUCAUGCCUAACCCUAACCUGUUAAAAAUGUAUGUACUACCACAAUAUCCGACCUACCCCUAAUUCAGUAGUGGUCUUCAGUGAGGUGCGCAGUUGCAUGUUCUGUCCUCCAUGACAUUCAUCUAAUUAGAUUAGAACAGAAUGGAUCAACAGUGAUUAAUAUCUCUGGUUUACAUCCCAAAAUAUAUUGCAUUCAUUGUUUUCACAGCCCUUUAUAUAAUGAGAAUAAGGACAGGUGUCACAUGAUAGGUAAACAUGUUUGGAGAAUUUGACAUAGUGGUUCCCAUCUUGACUUCUUUGACAAAUGCUUUACAUCAUGAGAAAAAUGCAGUUGAAAGCCAUUUUGACUGUGACCCUAUGAAUGAACCUGCUAUUCAACAUGUUUGGCUUGCAGUAUGUUUGGCUUGGAGUCUUGCAUCAGCAGUUAUCUGGCUGCUGUGAUGACAGUAAUACUGGAGGUCCAUGGUACCUCAGUGUCACGUCCUGACCAGUAAAGGGGUUAUUUGUUAUUAUAGUUUGGUCAGGACGUGGCAGGGGGUGUUUGUUUUAUGUGGUUCGGGGUUUGUUGGUAUAUGUGUUUUGUAGAGGGGUGUUUGUUUAGAUUAGUCCGGGGUUUUUGGUUAGGUUCUAUGUUGUGUAUUUCUAUGUUAGAUCUAGGGUGUUUAGUUCCAUGUUUAGUUAAUUGAGUUUGGGCCUUCAAUUGGAGGCAGCUGUUCCUCGUUGCCUCUGAUUGAAGGUCCUAUGUAUAGGGGUGUGUUUGUUGUGGGAAUUGUGGGAGGUUGUUUUUGCAUUGUUAUGUUUAGCCUGCAAGACUGUCUAGCUGUCGUUCGUUUUUUCGUUUUUGUGUA
rnacentral:lncRNA from 1 species